AAGACCCUAGUAAAAUUAUUACACUGCCUUGUCAAGGCAAAAUUGUAGGUUAAAACCCUGCGUGUCUUA
rnacentral:tRNA from 1 species